ensembl:snRNA U6 U6 spliceosomal RNA
GUGCUCGCUUCGGCAGCACAUACACUAAAACCGGAACGAUGCAGAGAAGAUUAGCUUGGCCCCUGCGCACAGAUGACACGCAAAUCCGUGAAGCGCUCCAUAUUUUU